rnacentral:rRNA from 1 species
GAGCGGACAGAUGGGAGCUUGCUCCCUGAUGUUAGCGGCGGACGGGUGAGUAACACGUGGGUAACCUGCCUGUAAGACUGGGAUAACUCCGGGAAACCGGGGCUAAUACCGGAUGGUUGUUUGAACCGCAUGGUUCAAACAUAAAAGGUGGCUUCGGCUACCACUUACAGAUGGACCCGCGGCGCAUUAGCUAGUUGGUGAGGUAACGGCUCACCAAGGCAACGAUGCGUAGCCGACCUGAGAGGGUGAUCGGCCACACUGGGACUGAGACACGGCCCAGACUCCUACGGGAGGCAGCAGUAGGGAAUCUUCCGCAAUGGACGAAAGUCUGACGGAGCAACGCCGCGUGAGUGAUGAAGGUUUUCGGAUCGUAAAGCUCUGUUGUUAGGGAAGAACAAGUACCGUUCGAAUAGGGCGGUACCUUGACGGUACCUAACCAGAAAGCCACGGCUAACUACGUGCCAGCAGCCGCGGUAAUACGUAGGUGGCAAGCGUUGUCCGGAAUUAUUGGGCGUAAAGGGCUCGCAGGCGGUUUCUUAAGUCUGAUGUGAAAGCCCCCGGCUCAACCGGGGAGGGUCAUUGGAAACUGGGGAACUUGAGUGCAGAAGAGGAGAGUGGAAUUCCACGUGUAGCGGUGAAAUGCGUAGAGAUGUGGAGGAACACCAGUGGCGAAGGCGACUCUCUGGUCUGUAACUGACGCUGAGGAGCGAAAGCGUGGGGAGCGAACAGGAUUAGAUACCCUGGUAGUCCACGCCGUAAACGAUGAGUGCUAAGUGUUAGGGGGUUUCCGCCCCUUAGUGCUGCAGCUAACGCAUUAAGCACUCCGCCUGGGGAGUACGGUCGCAAGACUGAAACUCAAAGGAAUUGACGGGGCCCCCCCCC